UUACGGCGAGUGAAGAGGGAAGAGCCCAAGAUUGAAAGCUGGCGUCUUUGGCGUCCGCAUUGUAAUCUCAAGAAGUGUUUUCCGCUUCGGACCAUGCCUAAGUCCCUUGGAAAAGGGCAUCAUAGAGGGUGAUAAUCCCGUACAUGGCAUGGAGCGCCCGAAGCUUUGUGAUACGCUUUCUAAGAGUCGAGUUGUUUGGGAAUGCAGCUCAAAAUGGGUGGUAAAUGCCAUCUAAGGCUAAAUAUUGGGGAGAGACCGAUAGCGAACAAGUACAGUGAUGGAAAGAUGAAAAGAACUUUGAAAAGAGAGUUAAACAGUACGUGAAAUUGCCAAAAGGGAAGGGUAGGAGGUCAGAGAUGCGGCCUGGGAAGCUUUUCCCAGAUUGCAGGCCAACGUCGGUUUUGGGCACUGGAGAAUGGUGGGAGGAACGUGGCACCCCUCGGGGUGUGUUAUAGCCUCCUACUGGAUACAGCGACCGAGACCGAGGACAGCAGCGUACUCGCAAGAGCGGGCCUUCGGGCACCUUUACGCUUAGGGCGUUGGCAUCACGGCCU
rnacentral:rRNA from 1 species